rnacentral:lncRNA from 1 species
AUCUACGCUGUCUCUGCACAGCACUAGCCCCGCCCUUGGCCACUCACCUCUGUCGCGGCGUCGGGGAAGAGCAAUAGAAAACCCCUAUGCUAAUGUGGGACAACAGGCUCCACCUACCAAACCCCAGAGGAGGAAGUCACCAUUACUGAAACAACUUCCUGUUGAAGAGCAGGGUCUUGGGAUCAAAGAUCACGAUUCAUCCAAAGAAGGAGGUGGACCCAGCAGCCCCAGCAGGGCUGAGCUGUACCAGCAGCAGGUUCUUUCAGAGCGCGCUCGAGUUCAGGGUCGCCGGUCGUCUCUCUUCUUGUCAGUGGAGGGAGCGGGGUCAGAAAAUCAGGCACCGCCUCUUCUGACGCAGAGCCACUCGAUGGAUGACCUCGGCGAGCUUCCCCCUCCAGCUCCGGUCCUGUCACCUUCACCGACGCCUCAUACCUUCCUCCACCCGCUGACAGGGAAACCUCUAGACCCGUCCUCUCCACUCGCCCUGGCACUUGCUGCAAGAGAACGAGCACUCACCGCCCGCACACCGAGCCCUGAGCCUCGAACUAAACACGCUUCUGCCUCCACCACACCCAUCCCCACCCCGGCUGCCAGUCCUGAGGGCAGACACAAGCGAACGCCCAUCACCACUCCACAAAGCAGUCCUGAGCCACGAUCCAAGCGCACCACUCCUCAGACAAGCCCUGAGCAGCGGACCAAACGCACCACUCCCCAAACGAGUCCUGAGCUAAGGCAUAAACGCAUAACCCCACCCCUUUUCCCAGAUGGACAAGUUGAGCGCCCAGAAACAGAGGGAGGAGUGACAUCACCUGCCGCACCCUCCCCUGAGCGCUGGAGACCCUCCCCUUUGCCACCACUGGCCAAUGAGGCUCAUUCUCCUCUGAUUGAUAGACGUAGAAGCCUCACAGUGGGCAGUUCAGAGGAGGAGGGAGGGGCUUACACAGUGACACUCCCACCUGCCUUGUUAUCAUCCAGCGAUGAGGAAACUAGGGAGGAGCUGCGUAGAAUUGGUCUGGUGACUCCCCCUCCUGGCUUUGCAAGCCCUCCUGCUGCUCCUCCCCCAUCCUCUCUCACCUUGUUGCCACGACGAGGUGGAGAGGGAGGGGGAGGAGAGAGUGGUCCUGAAUCUUUGGGUAGACGAGGAGAUGAGGAGGAAGGAGGUGAUGAAAGGCUUCAUGACAGCUCGUCUUCCCCAAGCUCCCUCCCACCCUCCAUCACCCUGGCUUCUCCUCCUGCUCCAUCUUCCCCAUCUUCCCCACCUGCUACUCACCCAUCUCCUUCAUCCGCCGCUACUUCCCCAUCAGGGCUAAAGCCUCGCCUUCGUUCACCUAUCGGUCGAGGACGUUCUGCACUCCGGGACCCCCUAUUAAAGCAGUCGUCGGACAGUGAGCUCCUCCCAUCUGCUGCAUCAUCAUCCUCCCCCUCCUCCCCACUUUGCUCCUCUCCCACCAGUGGCGGAGGCCGACAGCCACGCUAUUUGUUUCAAAG